rnacentral:lncRNA from 1 species
AUUUCAUUCACUAAUAUAAAUAUAUCAUUUACUCUAUUGAAUUGACGCAGCAGAUGGAAGGGAGAGAUAUAUUUUGUACACCACUUUAAUAUUAAUAUAAAAAUCUUCGCUCCGUCUCCAUCUGUGAAAGUAGGCCCGUGGCCAAACCCCAUAUAUGUUUAUAUGCUUUAAUUUUCUUCUCUGUUUCUCAAUUCUUUUUUGGUAUUUUCGUACCGGACGAACUAGAUCUUUUCUAUUUUUGCCUUAACAAAUUUGGUAU